AACGAACGCUGGCGGCAGGCCUAACACAUGCAAGUCGAGCGCCCCGCAAGGGGGAGCGGCAGACGGGUGAGUAACACGUGGGAACCUUCCCUAUAGUACGGAAUAGCCCAGGGAAACUUGGAGUAAUACCGUAUACGCCCGAGAGGGGAAAGAUUUAUCGCUAUAGGAUGGGCCCGCGUAGGAUUAGCUAGUUGGUGAGGUAAUGGCUCACCAAGGCGACGAUCCUUAGCUGGUCUGAGAGGACGACCAGCCACACUGGGACUGAGACACGGCCCAGACUCCUACGGGAGGCAGCAGUGGGGAAUAUUGGACAAUGGGCGCAAGCCUGAUCCAGCCAUGCCGCGUGAGUGAUGAAGGCCUUAGGGUUGUAAAGCUCUUUUGCCGGGGACGAUAAUGACGGUACCCGGAGAAUAAGUCCCGGCUAACUUCGUGCCA
rnacentral:rRNA from 1 species